rnacentral:rRNA from 1 species
ACGGGUGAGUAAUACAUAGGUAACCUGCCCCUGUGCGGGGGAUAACAGGAGGAAACUCCUGCUAAUACCGCAUAGCCAUGAGCACCGCAUGGAGCUCAUGCCAAAUAUCCUUUCGGGGAUAGCGCAGGGAUGGACCUAUGGCGCAUUAGCUGGUUGGCGGGGCAACGGCCCACCAAGGCAACGAUGCGUAGCCGGCCUGAGAGGGCGGACGGCCACAUUGGGACUGAGACACGGCCCAGACUCCUACGGGAGGCAGCAGUAGGGAAUUUUCGGCAAUGGGGGAAACCCUGACCGAGCAACGCCGCGUGAGCGAAGAAGGCCUUCGGGUCGUAAAGCUCUGUUGUAAAGGAAGAACGGCGCAUACAGGAAAUGGUAUGCGAGUGACGGUACUUUACCAGAAAGCCACGGCUAACUACGUGCCAGCAGCCGCGGUAAUACGUAGGUGGCGAGCGUUAUCCGGAAUCAUUGGGCGUAAAGAGGGAGCAGGCGGCCGCAAGGGUCUGUGGUGAAAGACCGAAGCUAAACUUCGGUAAGCCAUGGAAACCGGGCGGCUAGAGUGCGGAAGAGGAUCGUGGAAUUCCAUGUGUAGCGGUGAAAUGCGUAGAUAUAUGGAGGAACACCAGUGGCGAAGGCGACGGUCUGGGCCGCAACUGACGCUCAUUCCCGAAAGCGUGGGGAGCAAAUAGGAUUAGAUACCCUAGUAGUCCACGCCGUAAACGAUGGUCACUAAGUGUCGGGG